ACUCCAGCCUGUAUGUGGUUCUGUCCUACUUUUGUUUCAAAUAAUUACUGUCAAAAUUGAAAUUGUUUCUGUGAUUUCUGAUCCUUGUUUUAUAUUUGUCUAUUUUUUUUAUUUUUAAGAAACCAGUGAGUAGCUAAUGUAGACAAUGAUUUGAUUGAGUUGAUGUGAGUUCAUUUGACUAUUAAAGUUUUAAUUUAUUGAU